rnacentral:lncRNA from 1 species
GUGAGGGGGAGAUGGGGAGAGACAGCCCUUGUCCGCUCUCUGUUCUUUCUGCUCUUUGGGCAUAAAUAGCACCAGGCUGAGUGAGUGUAUUUUGCAGCUAGCCCAUCCUGCAACUCCUGCUUCCCUCGCAGAUUUCAGCUCUCAGUGGCAUCAGUCGGCUUUUCAGUUGACGUGUGGAAUGGUCCAUCAUCUGCCGUAUAGAAAAUGCAGCCAGUCCCAGGGAUGUACUUUAGGAUUUUUUUUUUUUUUAACAGAGACUCUUAAAAGUGGGACUUGGGAAGGACUAGGAACCGUGAGGACGUGGGUUGGAUCCCUGGCCUGGCUCAGUGGGUUAAUGAUCUGGCGUUGCUGUGGCUGUGGUGUAGGCUGACAGCAGUAGCUCCGAUUAGACCCCUAGUCUGGGAACCUCCAUAUGCCACGGGUGUGGCCCGAAAAAAAAAAGCAAAAACAAAACCAAAAAAAAGUAGAACUUGGAAGACAGAAGGAGCCACGUGACUAGGGCCUUGUUUCAUUUCUGAGCUGUUUUGAGGGAACUCUUGAAACUUCCUUUCUUUAGGGGAACCACCUGGCCACUGUGGGGAAAUCAUUGUGAAUAAAUGAUUUAUAGGGAAACCUCAUCAGAGCUGCAGAGAUUUCUCAGGUCCUUUGCAACCUUGGACUCUAAAGACAACCGUUGCAAAUGUUGUGCUGUCUCUUUGAGGUUGUUUGGGGACCAUUUCCUCUUGAUACCACAGUCAUUCCUAACUUUUGAGGUCAGUGUUAGGUCAAAAGGUACUGCAUUUAGGCGAGGGAUGGGUCCACCAGUUUCCUGCAAAGACAUAAACUGCACAGUGUUUUUUAAACUUACGUUUUAAAAUAAAUGCCGAAAAUAAGUAGAUCUUUAUAUAAAUAUAUAUUUAUAAUGUUUCCAUACUCAGCUACAAUUUCCCCUGUGGUUGGAGGGGAGAAAGCAAAGCUAUUGGAGGGAGUAUAAAGCUUUAAAAGCUGAAUUUUCCAGAUAUUUUUAGGUUAAUUACCCAAAGCCUCAUCCAUCCUCAAGAUUUUCAAACUUUAUUUUUUUUUUUGUAAAUGAAUGGGCAUUGUGUUUAUGGAUUUUAAAAAUACAAUUGUUUUAUUUAAAUGCCAUGCUGAGCAGUUGUUCUCUGUUCAUGGUAACCAAAACCUGAAGCGAUUUCGAUCAGUUUUGAUCACUAUUUAGUUAUCCAAAACAUGUACUGUGUACAAAUGAAAUAAUAUGGCAUAUUAGCCAGGUUUCAUGGUUGCCCAAGGCAUUUAAUGGAAGCUCAGUUUUGUAUUUUAUUAAGGCUCCAGCAUAUGCUUGAUCUGAAAUGUGUACAUUUUUGGUGUAUACUUGGUACUAGAGAUUCCUGUAUGCAAAUAUCCUCAUAUAUAAGAAGGCUCAACAUUGUUCGUGCUUUGAAAAAAAAAAAAAAAA